GGAAGUGAGCUGCCAUGUACUAGGCCACGUGGCAAGGGCCUGGUUGGGGACCUCCAGGGGUUGAGAGCAUCCUCUGGACAACAUGGAAAAAGAAAAUGAAAAUGGUGACCUCAGCCCUAUAGCUAGAAGGAAUUGAAUCCUGUCAACAACGAUACUCAUCACUCACUGCAGAUGUUACUUUAAGACAUUCUGGAGCAGCGUCAUGUGCAGGAACAAUAAGGAAGUGAGUGCUUUUGUAAUUCCUGAACAACUGUGUCUUACACUUACUAAGUUCUCUUGCCUGCCACCAUGUAAGAUAUGCUUUUACUCUUCCGCCUUCCACCGUGACUGUGAGGCCUCCCCAGCCAUGUGAAACUGCCUUUGAGCUUAUACUGAAUUAUACCACCAGCUUUCCUAGGUCUUGAAGCUUACAGACAGCAGAUCUUGGGACUUCUCAGGCACCAUAAUCAAUCAUAGAUAAAUGAUCCAAUGAUUCGGAACUUGAAAAGUGGUAGCUUUAUGAAUUCUCCUUAAGAAGAAACCUGUGCCCUGAUCUUGCCUACUCACCCAAAGGCACUGUGAGAUAGCAUCAAAGGAACAGCUAGUAAGAGACACAGAGCCAGAAAUCAGGGAAGUAAAAUACACUUGACAUCUACGUUCGGAAAGAAAUUUUAGGAGGCAGAAGCAAAUGGAUCAGAAGCUGCUUAUAUUUUUGCAAGAUUACCAAAGAAACCAUUGGUGGAGAAAGUUCUGUGACCAACUUGUCUGAGUCUAGUAAGAUUGAACGCUCACACACAAGUUUCAUGAAGUGGGUUUGAUACUUACAGAUAAGCAGCAAGGACCAACAGAAGCUGAUGAUCUAUGGUGAACUUUUUCCCAAGGCUCCGGAAAGCUGCCUAAAGUAGAUGGAGUCUUCUCUGUGUGUGCCCCACUGGUCCUGCAGUUGAAGGAUCCGGUAAAGCAGCCUGCCCUUGGUUUUAUACUCCAGAGGAACGUGAUUCGCUGGACUAAAGCAUUGAAGUGCAUCCUGUUUCCGGGGGGCACUGGAACAGAGCCUGGUCUGUUCUAGCCAGUCCCUUUCUAUCUCAGGAUAACAUUCUACAGUUAUUCUUGAGAACUAUAAUCAAAUAAGCAGGGAGAACUGGGAAAGCAGAGGCUCAUUGUGGAACCCUCAAGGAGCAUGGGGUCGUCUUCAUCCCUCAGUUUAUAAAUGGCCAAGGAGAGUAAUGCAACAAAAACUUCUCAGAGUUAAAAGCCAGAGUUCCUAAAGAACCGUGGACAAAGGGUUCUGUCUAGUGGGCAGAAUUCAUCCAGCGAAGGUGCUUACUGCACUCCCAGCAUGUGCUUGGGAACUUUAUUAAAAUUCCUUCCUAUUGAGAUUUAAAUUGCUGUCCAGAAUUAUACAAUAUAAUGAAUGGGGGCAUUCAUUAUGUGUAUUCUAUGCCUUCUCCAUCAUUGCAUAUUCAGUCCUCGUGCUAGAGAGAGGCAGAUAAUCUACCUUUUAAAUUGAUAGGUCUCCUAACUACAGAGGGUCACAUCUGGAUCUGAUGGCACCUACAGAACUUGGACUCUGAGCGACAAUCAGUGACCAGGAAAUUUGGAACCCAGGUUUUCCCAACCUACAUCUACAAAAUGGAAUGGGUCUGAUUCGCAAGUUUUCAGAGAAAGAAGCCAACCUUAAUCAGACUGUGAUAUGAUGAGGAAAUAAAACUUGCUGUGCUAAUCAACUGAUACUGGGAAGCAU
rnacentral:lncRNA from 1 species